CCUACGGGAGGCAGCAGUCGAGAAUCAUUCACAAUGGGGGAAACCCUGAUGGUGCGACGCCGCGUGGGGGAAUGAAGGUCUUCGGAUUGUAAACCCCUGUCAUGUGGGAGCAAAUUAAAAAGAUAGUACCACAAGAGGAAGAGACGGCUAACUCUGUGCCAGCAGCCGCGGUAAUACAGAGGUCUCAAGCGUUGUUCGGAAUCACUGGGCGUAAAGCGUGCGUAGGCUGUUGCGUAAGUCGUGUGUGAAAGGCGCGGGCUCAACCCGCGGACGGCACAUGAUACUGCGAGACUAGAGUGAUGGAGGGGGAAGCGGAAUUCGCGGUGUAGCAGUGAAAUGCGUAGAUAUCGAGAGGAACACUCGUGGCGAAGGCGGGUUCCUGGACAUUAACUGACGCUGAGGCACGAAGGCCAGGGGAGCGAAAGGGAUUAGAUACCCUUGUAGUC
rnacentral:rRNA from 1 species